AGCAGCGUGGCUCAGUGGAAAGAGCACGGGCAUUGGAGUCAGAGGUCAUGAGUUCAAAUCCCGGCGCUGCCA
rfam:Ornithorhynchus anatinus chromosome X1, whole genome shotgun sequence.